rnacentral:rRNA from 1 species
GUCUGCUGCCAUGCCACCCUGAACAAGCCUGAUGUCUGAUCUUGGAAGCUAAGCAGGGUCGGGCCUGGUUAGUACUUGGAUGAGAGACCACCUAGGAAGACCAGGUGCUGUAGGCA